rnacentral:rRNA from 1 species
AUUGAACGCUGGCGGCAGGCCUAACACAUGCAAGUCGAGCGAGCGGCGGACGGGGGAGCAAUGUCUGGGAAACUGCCUGAUGGAGGGGGAGAACUACUGGAAACGGUAGCGAAUAUCACACACCAUCAGAUGUGCCCAGAUGGGAGUAGCUAGUAGGUGGGGUAAUGUCUCACCUAGGCGACGAGCCCUAGCUGGUCUGAGAGGAUGACCAGCCACACUGGAACUGAGACACGGUCCAGACUCCUACGGGAGGCAGCAGUGGGGAAUAUUGCACAAUGGGCGCAAGCCUGAUGCAGCCAUGCCGCGUGUAUGAAGAAGGCCUUCGGGUUGUAAAGUACUUUCAGCGAGGAGGCGUUACUCGCAGAAGAAGCACCGGCUAACUCCGUGCCAGCAGCCGCGGUAAUUC